rnacentral:rRNA from 1 species
CGCGUGUGUGAUGAAGGCCCUAGGGUCGUAAAGCACUUUCGCCAGAGAUGAUAAUGACAGUAUCUGGUAAAGAAACCCCGGCUAACUCCGUGCCAGCAGCCGCGGUAAUACGGAGGGGGUUAGCGUUGUUCGGAAUUACUGGGCGUAAAGCGUACGUAGGUGGUUUGUUAAGUUGGAUGUGAAAGCCCAGGGCUCAACCUUGGAACUGCAUUCAAAACUGGCGAACUAGAGUAUGGUAGAGGUGAGUGGAAUUUCCUGUGUAGCGGUGAAAUGCGUAGAGAUGGGAAGGAACAUCAGUGGCGAAGGCGACUCACUGGACCAAUACUGACACUGAGGUACGAAAGCGUGGGUAGCAAACAGGAUUAGAUACCCUGGUAGUCCACGCCGUAAACGAUGUCUACUAGCCGUUGGGGUCCUUGAGACUUUAGUGGCGCAGCUAACGCACUAAGUAGACCGCCUGGGGAGUACGGUCGCAAGAUUAAAACUCAAAUGAAUUGACGGGGGCCCGCACAAGCGGUGGAGCAUGUGGUUUAAUUCGAAGCAACGCGAAGAACCUUACCUACUCUUGACAUCCAGAGAAUUUAGCAGAGAUGCUUUAGUGCCUUCGGGAACUCUGAGACAGGUGCUGCAUGGCUGUCGUCAGCUCGUGUUGUGAAA